rnacentral:rRNA from 1 species
CUCUCGGAGGAGGCCGACUCGGUGGUUUGGCCGCUUACGGCCUCUGGUACAUUCUCGGUCAAAUUGCUGUACUCUAGACUGAUUGGUGGUACUUCUUCGGGUAGAUUCUCUUGUGUUUGGAAAUCUAAGGUCCCUCCUAAGAUUAAGAUUUUCCUCUGGCAAGCCUUCCGUGGUCGCCUCCCUUCUGCUGAUCAGAUCAAAAAACGCAACGGGCCGGGCUCGGAAUUCUGUAACUUGUGUGGGGCUUUGGAAAACUCUAAUCACAUCUUUUUCAACUGUGUUCUCGCCAAAUUAGUUUGGGCUUGCGUCAGAUCCUGGCUUCGGGUCUCCUGA